CUGGCCUCAGAGGGACUCUGGAGGUGGCCCUGGGUGGCAUACAGCACCAAGGAAGAGAGCGCUGCAAGACCUGUUGGGCAGUACCUGGUACCCAAUAAGAAGGACAUGCCGUAUGACAUUGUGGACCUCACAGAGGAAGUAGGAAUGAAGUGGCAGAACAGUAUGCUUAAUGCAGAACUGUGUAUAAGGGGAAAAAGAGGGAACUGGACAAGAGUUUCCUUCCUUGCUGUUGCGGAGAAGGAAUGCUACACAGUCCUUCAUGGCUAAAACACUCCACCAGCCACAGCUCCGUGCAGACUUCUCUCUUCCUCUCAGACUGGAUUUCUGCCCAGUGUGUUGAAAGCCAUGUCUCACUGACCUGUUGAAUUCAGAGCUCUUUUUGCUUAAUACAACGCAUUAUGAACAAAGACACAGGUCAUUGUGAACUGGAAACUGGUUGACCUGAGUGACCGGGACCUGGCAAUGCUGGAGUUUGCUCUUGCAGUCUGUCAAGCUGAUAACAUCACUGAAGAGCAUUUCCAGAAGCUGGAGAGGCAUGGUUUUGACCAUGAAGAUGCCUGGGACAUAGGCAUAAUUUCUGCUUUUUUUGCUAUGUCUAACUGUAUAGCUCAUUAUAUUGACCUCUGCCCAAACACAGAAUUCUACACUGUGGGCAGGAUGUCCUGUGGAGAGAAGGAAAAGGAAGAAGCUGAGUGUGCCUGACAUGGCUCUCUGAUGCCUACGCAUCUGAAAGACUGAUCAAGCUCUUAAUUCUCAAGCUAGAGUGGCUUAUUUCUCAAUAUGUAAAAGGGUUAAAAAGCUAAUGCCAGACUGUAGCCAUGAGGGAUGGUGGGCUUACCUCCUCAGCAUUUGAGCUGACUCUAGUGCUUCUGUGUUCCUGGCACAGCUGGAAGAGCAUAGCUUUGGUUUUGGCGCUGGCCGCACAGGUAACAAGCUUGUUGGGUCACGAUGUGACUUAAAACAAGCUGUUCCAUGGCACUUUGCCAGCUCUGCGGUGUGAGAUCUAAUACACUUCAU